CUUCAUCUGCACAGAGUGGAAACAACAAGAAGAGCAUCAAAAAAUGAGAGCGAUGUCUCUUUAGUUUGUUAUCAAUCACGCCCUGAGAAGAUUUCAUUUCCCGACAUAUUGCUGCUUCUUUAAUGAUUAACUCCUGUAAACACAGACUGAGAGCUCAACUGGACUGGAUCCAGGUUACCAUGGGACUCUGGCUUCACCAAAACAAGCACAAUCCAAUGAGGAGCUCUCUGAAGUACCAGACUUUCUCCUUCGGGACAUCUUUGGUGCCGCACACACUCUUCUAGCAGACUGUGGAGGAUCUGCGGUGCUCUGAUUGGCUACAGAUUCUGGUCCAGCCAGCGUAUGUAGUUGUCCAUGCUCCUCUGUCCGACGCCAGACAUCAUCGGCAGGAAAGCGAAAACCAUGCAGCCGUGAAAGCCAUCCUCGUAGUGAUCGUUGGUCACCGAGACGCCAGCGUCCUGCAGACGCCUCACGUACAUCAACCCGUCAUCUCUUAGAACGUCAAACUCACAGGUCAUCACGUACGCU